rnacentral:rRNA from 1 species
GAUGAACGCUGGCGGCGUGCCUAAUACAUGCCAGUCGAGCGAACAGACGAGGAGCUUGCUCCUCUGACGUUAGCGGCGGACGGGUGAGUAACACGUGGAUAACCUACCUAUAAGACUGGGAUAACUUCGGGAAACCGGAGCUAAUACCGGAUAAUAUAUUGAACCGCAUGGUUCAAUAGUGAAAGACGGUUUUGCUGUCACUUAUAGAUGGAUCCGCGCCGCAUUAGCUAGUUGGUAAGGUAACGGCUUACCAAGGCAACGAUGCGUAGCCGACCUGAGAGGGUGAUCGGCCACACUGGAACUGAGACACGGUCCAGACUCCUACGGGUGGCAGCAGUAGGGAAUCUUCCGCAAUGGGCGAAAGCCUGACGGAGCAACGCCGCGUGAGUGAUGAAGGUCUUCGGAUCGUAAAACUCUGUUAUUAGGGAAGAACAAAUGUGUAAGUAACUAUGCACGUCUUGACGGUACCUAAUCAGAAAGCCACGGCUAACUACGUG